rnacentral:rRNA from 1 species
UACGUAGGCAGCAAGCGUUGUUCGGAGUUACUGGGCGUAAAGGGUGUGUAGGCGGUUAUUUAAGUUUGGUGUGAAAUCUCCCGGCCCAACCGGGAGGGUGCGCCGAAUACUGAAUGACUUGGAGUGCGGGAGAGGAAAGUGGAAUUCCUGGUGUAGCGGUGAAAUGCGUAGAUAUCAGGAGGAACACCGGUGGUGUAGACGGCUUUCUGGACCGUAACUGACGCUGAGACACGAAAGCGUGGGUAGCAAACAGG